rnacentral:tRNA from 1 species
AUUUGUAUAGUUUAAAUUAAAACAUAUCAUUUUCAAUGAUAAAAUAAAUUAUUUUUUACAAAUA